GUUGAAAAAAUGAUGGGGGGCCAUACAGUUAGGGGGUCCCACCAUUCUAACCAGCAGCUGUAAAGGCAAUGCCACAAUCCAAGAUGGCCCUUCUUGCCUCCGUAGCUGUUACUAUUGGCAGUGAGUCGGUGUGGCUGGGAAACAGGAAGUCAUGUGAUUCAUGUCAGCGGCUGCACUUCCUGUUUGUAUCUAUAUCACAGCCCUUGGGGACCUGCUGCCGCUGCUCUGGAACGCUGACCAAUAGCGUGAGAGAUAAGCGUGAAACUGCCCCUCCCCUGCCGGCUAGAGAGCAUGCUGGGAGUUGCAGUUCACACUCACUAAUCCCUACAAUGGUGGUUGUGAUACUUCAUAUACUCCUUAUUAUCGGGGGGGUAGGGGGGGGGGUGUUGUUACGACAGAGGCCCUGGGAGCAGCGUCAUGAGACGUUAAUCCCGCCCCGCCCUCCGUCAGUAUUUAUAUUAAUAGAGAGGCGGGGCCCGGGCCGAACAAAGCCGGGAGCAGGUGUCUCCCCGAAUCUCUACUGAGCCCAUUAACCUAUUCAUUGCCUGCGGCCCCCCUGUCUCCUCAUUCUGAGCAACUGCCCUCCUGCGGGGCAGCCACUGGGAAUGUAUGUACCUCACCAACAGCUUAUACUUUAAUUACCCCAGAGAGUUGGGUCUGUGCUAGGAACAAAUACCCCAGGCAGGUAGGGCUGUGCUAGGAACAAAUACCCCAGGCAGGUAGGGCUGUGCUAGGAAUAAAUACCCCAGGCAGGUAGGGCUGUGCUAGGAACAAAUACCACAGGCAGGUAGGGCUGUGCUAGGAACAAAUACCCCAGGCAGGUAGGGCUGUGCUAGGAACAAAUACCACAGGCAGGUAGGGCUGUGCUAGGAACAAAUACCCCAGGCAGGUAGGGCUGAGCUUGUAAUAAAUACCCCAGGCAGGUAGGUCUGAGCUUGUAACAAAUACCCCAGGCAGGUAGUUCUGUGCUAGGAACAAAUACCCCAGGCAGGUAGGUCUGUGCUAGGAACAAAUACCCCAGGCAGGUAGGGCUGUGCUAGGAACAAAUACCCCAGGCAGGUAGGUCUGUGCUAGGAACAAAUACCCCAGGCAGGUAGGGCUGUGCUAGGAACAAAUACCCCAGGCAGGUAGGUCUGUGCUAGGAACAAAUACCCCAGGCAGGUAGGGCUGUGCAAGGAACAAAUACCCCAGAGAGUUGGGUCUGUGCUAGGAACAAAUACCCCAGAGAGUUGGGUCUGUGCUAGGAACAAAUACCCCAGGCAGGUAGGGCUGUGCUAGGAACAAAUACCCCAGAGAGUUGGGUCUGUGCUAGGAACAAAUACCCCAGGAAGGUAGGGCUGUGCUAAGAACAAAUACCCCAGGCAGGUAGGGCUGUGC